rnacentral:rRNA from 1 species
UAUUUCGCAAUGGAGGAAACUCUGACGCAGUGACGCCGCGUAUAGGAAGAAGGUUUUCGGAUUGUAAACUAUUGUCGUGAGGGAAGAAAUUGACAGUACCUCAGGAGGAAGCUCCGGCUAACUACGUGCCAGCAGCCGCGGUAAUACGUAGGGGGCAAGCGUUAUCCGGAUUUACUGGGUGUAAAGGGAGCGUAGGUGGCAGGGCAAGUCAGAUGUGAAAACCCGGGGCUCAACCCCGGGAGUGCAUUUGAAACUGUCCAGCUGGAGUGCAGGAGGGGUAAGCGGAAUUCCUAGUGUAGCGGUGAAAUGCAUAGAUAUUAGGAGGAACACCAGUGGCGAAGGCGGCUUACUGGACUGUAAAUGACGCUGAGGCUCGAAAGCGUGGGGAGCAAACAGG